UUCUCCUUUGGAAAUGAUGUGAUUAUCUCCCCCGUUAUCUUGUUGACUAUCUUCAUCAGCAACCAGUAAUAUCUCUGAGGUAUCAUCUCGGAAAAAAGGACAUCAAGGACCUGGGUCUGUUUUCACGAUGGAGCAGAUCUCGAGUAUCCCAGUAGUCCGUCUCCUUUGUCGAGACAAUGAAUUUAAAGUUCUUAAGAUUUGGCUAAAAGGUUUUUAGACGGUAAACUGUAGUGUUUUAUACCCCUUGUAUUUGCUUCUCCUGAUGGUUGGUCAAAUAAUAAAAACGUUGUAUCAUCAUUUUCACCCUCUCUGAUUAGUUAUGCAAAACCUGACAGUCUCUGGUUGUUAUGUUGAUAGUGUGCUUUUUGGCUUGCAGUUGCAUAGUAAAAAGGAAUGUCUGUGUACCAUUCUCUAUUAGUGCUUACUUCCUUAGCUUAGAUAGUGGUGAACAACACGAACAAGUAAAAGGGCUUAAGCAAUAUUUUUUCCUAUGUCUUUUCAUUCACGAAACAAACAUGUACCAUGCACUGACAAAAUGACUCAAGUAUAAUUUGAAUUUUGUAAACUAGAACGUAUAGAUAAAUGCUUAAUUUAUUUAGGAGGUCCUCAAUACACAUCUGAACAUGACCAGAUUAUUCUACCUUUUACAAAUCACAGUGCAACUCACGAAACCAAGAAAAUUAAGUAUAGACUGCUAUCAAUAGGCAUCCUCACAGGAAAUUCUAUUACCCUGCAUAUAUCUAAACAUAUUUACCAUGAUUGAUGUUCAUCGAGUACUGAAUAUUCCUCUGCCGCCAUUCCAUGUUUUAGGAUUCUUAGAAAUUCUCACGAUUCCAAUUCUUUUAGAAUCUUCGCUCUUUGCAUGCUUCAGAACCUCUCAUUAGUAGGACACAUCAGAAUAUAGUAGAGCUGAUGAUUCUUUAAAAAAUAGCUUUAGGCUUGGAGAACUAAUAUGAUACUUUAGUUUUUCCCCUCAAAAAAAUAUGUAUUAUACUUUAGUUUUAGCUACUUUCCUUAAUUUUUUUCUGAAUUCUUUUGGUAAAUAUCAUAUUGUUAUUUGUAGGCAUUAGUGGUCAGUAUUUCUGGUGUAUAAUGUCUCACCCUUCUACGGGACAAGAGUGAAGCAUUGUCGGUUUUUUCUUAUUCUACAACCAUGUCAUAGGAAGAGCACACUUGCUCCAUUAGUUACUUAGUGCACUAGGUUAUGAAAUAAAUUUAUUAAGUAGAUACCAAGGUAAUGCUCAGCUACUCAUUCUUCUCCGAUAAUCUGCAUAGAUUGUAAAAUUAUUGAGAUACACAUUACUCAUCCCAUAAGGGCGCGUAAUUAGAAACCCGAAAAAUCCUUCCAUAUUUUUCUGGCAGAUGAGUGCCAAGUAUUUUUUUUUAAAUGUAUGUAGUUCCUGAUUGAGUUGAAAGUAUGCCAAGGCAUCGUGUGAGUGUUUUGGUUAUGUUUAACAUAUGAUAUACAAGAGAGUGUGGUAGUUCAGUUAUCACCAUACUCUCUUCCAUUGUACCAUCAUAAUUAGGUAUGAUAUAGAAGAAAGUGUGGUAGUGCAGUCCCAAACUUAGUUACAAGUUAAUUUCCUCCAUAAUCUGUAGGUAUCACACAAUUUGUAUGGAAAUAGGCCGAUUUACUUUAUAUGGACCCUUUCUGUAACUCACUAUCAGGUUUACUUCAUAUUUCUUGGAAAGAAUACAUGUUUCCCUUCAUCAUAUGGAGUUGCCAACAAUUGGUACUGUGAAUUAUAUUAAGAUAAUUUGCAUGCUUUAAUAUCUUAAUCUUCUCUUCAGCGAGAUGGUGAGCUCUUCCCUAUUUCCCAGUGGUGCUGCCGAUAACUGAGAUGUACGUUUUGUUCCUUGGAUAUGCAUGUUCAAAUGUUCAUCCUGUCGUGGUCCUGGCACAUACUCCGAAAGCAAUUCAGUUUGCUCUAGGCCUUACCGAUGGCAUUGUUUAUGUCAUGAUUGGAAGCUUGCAGUUUUGACUUCAACUUUUAGUUGAAAACCUGAUAUUUAGAAUGCUGUGAAGUUACAUGUAUUACAUAUUUGUUAUGAUGUGUUAUAUAGAGUUCUGGAUUAUGUAUAUGUAUUACAGGGUUGGAUACUUUUCUGGUACAUUUGUACAUUUGAACUAUGUGCAUACAUUGCUGUUUAUA